rnacentral:pre_miRNA from 1 species
AGGAGGAACAGCCCCAGUGGCGGGGCUGCUCUGGAAACCUGGAUUCAGCUCCGGCAGGAACUCCGUCUGCAGGGCCUGGAGGCUCCGGGGCGGG